rnacentral:tRNA from 1 species
AGGCCCAUAGCUCAACCCGGAUAGAGCAGUCGGCUUCGGACCGGAAGAUGGGGGUUCAAAUCCUCCUGGGCCUG